GGGGUACCACAGGGUAGCUCUAAAUCCUGUCGUGAUUCAGGGAGGAGGAGAUUUGAUUCAUAGGAAAAUGCAAGCGAUGUGUGCCACUGAUUUGGGUCAUCUGUACGCAAUUCAAAAGGAAAAGCACACUCCGGCAUGCCCCCUGGUGUGCCCUCUGCAAUGGGAGGCAGAACAGAGAGCUGGUCAGCCCUGGCCCAUGGUGCGCACCCCUCUGCAAGUUGCUCCUGUUGACACUGACAUGAGUUUUCUGUGUAGCUGACAUGAUGUCCUUCAUGCUUUUGGCAGUGUGCUUGCUCCACUGGACCAUCGCAUCUUUCAUGUAUAGAAAUAUUGCACAUUCAGGUUCAAAUCGAUCUGCCACCCUGAACUGCUGCAGACACAUUCCUGAAUAUGUUAUUUUAGAGUGUUUCCUUUUAAUUUAAGGUAAUGAAUGUACUUUGGUGGAUCCCCAGUGGAGAGAAAAGAAUGUUUCAGGCAUGCACUUCUCUUUGCAAAGAAGGCUUUCUUGACAGCAAGAGACAUAUAGGAAUGCAAGAUAUAUUGAAGAACUCAAAUGAAAUUAAAAUUGUGGAGGAAAGCAGGGUUAAAGAAGCAUUAUGGUAAAAUAAGGCCUUUAUUUCCACUCAUGGAGCUAUUAUGUAGAUAGCGUUUUACUUGCUUUCAUUCUUCUGUGAAUUCAUACAGACACUUUUUAUGUGCUAUCACGUAUCAAAUUGACAAGGUGUAGCUGAUAAUCUCUUUCACUUACUACCAGAUUAAUUUGAGGAAAGAAAAUGGGUCAUUCUGAAAAUAUAGAAGAACUUGAUACAAGGUAUGUUUGUGCCUCUGAGCGGACAAGGUAAAUGAGAUCAUCAGGGAAAUGUGGAUCAAAACACAAGAGAAGACAAAAAGGUUGUGUGAUGAAAGGAUGAAAAACAGGAAAAAGUACGAUAUUGAUUCUUUCUGAAAUGAAGGGCCAAGAAAAUGACCCAGGAGCUGGAAGGGCAUAGCUGCUGUUCUGAAUGAGGUGUCGUCGUGGAUUCUUGUCUUCAUUUUCUCUACGUGACUUAAAUCAGUUCUCCUAGAAAUGUUUUGCAGCCUGAAUGGGAGUACUGUGUAGCCUGACCCUACAGAAACCAAACUAACAUCUGGAUCUGGAGUUCAUGGAUGACUCCUCAGAAAUAAAAUACGUGAAACUGGAAUCCCA
rnacentral:lncRNA from 1 species